rnacentral:rRNA from 1 species
GAUGAACGCUGGCGGCGUGCUUAACACAUGCAAGUCGAACGGAAAGGCCCAAGCUUGCUUGGGUACUCGAGUGGCGAACGGGUGAGUAACACGUGGGUGAUCUGCCCUGCACUUCGGGAUAAGCCUGGGAAACUGGGUCUAAUACCGGAUAGGACCACAUUUUGGAUGGUGUGGUGGAAAGUUUUUCGGUGUGGGAUGAGCUCGCGGCCUAUCAGCUUGUUGGUGGGGUAAUGGCCUACCAAGGCGUCGACGGGUAGCCGGCCUGAGAGGGUGUACGGCCACAUUGGGACUGAGAUACGGCCCAGACUCCUACGGGAGGCAGCAGUGGGGAAUAUUGCACAAUGGGCGCAAGCCUGAUGCAGCGACGCCGCGUGGGGGAUGACGGCCUUCGGGUUGUAAACUCCUGUCGCUAGGGACGAAGCGUUUUUGUGACGGUACCUGGAGAAGAAGCACCGGCUAACUACGUG